CUGAGUUGCACCAAACUGCUUCUGGCCAACAUCGAGUUGAUAUUGACGGUCAUCUUGGGCACCAUUUUUGACAGAUAAUUGCCAGCCUGCAGGUCUCUUGGUGCCACGAGUAACAUUUUUGGAUGAAUAAUCCUAGAGAUGAUAUGAAGAUUGUACAGUAAGAACGGCACUUUAACUGCAUGAAUCCACUUAUGAAUUGGGAAUCGAAU